rnacentral:rRNA from 1 species
GCGUGCGCAGGCGGUUUUGUAAGACUGUCGUGAAAUCCCCGGGCUCAACCUGGGAAUGGCGAUGGUGACUGCAAGGCUAGAGUUUGGCAGAGGGGGGUAGGAAUUCCACGUGUAGCAGUGAAAUGCGUAGAUAUGUGGAGGAACACCGAUGGCGAAGGCAGCCCCCUCGGGUCAAAACUAGACGCUCAUGCACGAAAGCGUGGGGAGCAAACAGGAUUAGAUACCCGAGU